CAUUUCCUGCUUUCUGCAGCUCGAUGGAGCUGGAUGCUCAAGAGCAGAGGAUCUAUCAACUGCAGACCAAGCAGAGGGAGAGGCAGGCAGAACUGGAGCAGAAAUGCAGCCGGAUCCAGCAGCUCAGCCAGGACCUGAGGCCAGCCAUCUGCUGCAGGAGGAAGCUCUGAAGCAGCCAAGAACUGCUCUC
rnacentral:lncRNA from 1 species